GAGCACUGAUGGCAUCACUAAUGAGAGGUGAAAGGUCUUUUUCUUGCAGCUUUUUCAGAAAGCCACCAACUCAUGCCUGUGAAGGAAGGCUCCCCCCCCCCGCCCCGUUGAUUCCAAGACAACUGCAUUUAAUACACAGCCUCAAAAACACUUUUAUUACCAGCUGAUUCGCUUACAGCCACAGCCAAAUGAAGGAUGUACAAUCGCAUACAGAAGAAAAUAUUUAUUUUGACUCAGAAGGCCAAGGGAUUAAGAGAACAUUGUAUUAACCUUGCCUUUCAUCUACAUUUUAAAGGGAAGUUCUCCAGAGGCAUCCAUUGAAGUUAUUUUUUUUUUUUUUUUUUUUUUUUUUUUAUAAAGAGUUUCAAAGACUCUUACAAGGCCAGGUGUGUGUUUACCUGUGAAGGGAGAGCAGAAAGGGACGGCACUAUACCGGGAGGAAGAGGCAGUUUUCACAGAGGGGGAAAAAAAAAUGUGUGUUCUGGAAUCUGUUACAGGCAUUUCUAAGAGCCAGCCCCCACCAUUUCCCCCCUUGUUCCUCCUGCGUGGAAACAAAAUAGCUCUUUUCCAAGCGGGUUGUUAUCAUAUUCAUGGCACGGUCAAUUUCCGUUUGCCAAGAAAAUAUUUAGUCUGAUCAAAGAAAUUAGAAAAUCGGAUGAAUAGAAACAGACGUUCCCACAAGAGAAGCGUUUGUCAAUGUGAAGAGUCAAGCAGACGGCGGCCCACCCAGUGACUGCCGGGAAUUAGCUCUCCAGCCAAAGGCGGAACUACAAGGCCACCUGGAUUCUGCUGGAGAGGCUGCCGAAGGAAGAGUCAGGUCUCCUCGGUGAAAAAGUUGACUGGAGACAAAGGGUUCUGUAUCUAUGCCCAAACCAAGAGUUCCGUCACAUCCACUCACCUAGAAGGAUCUUUCAAGAGAGCUCACUACUAAGUGGGAUCUAUCUGGUUUGGGAUCCUGAUGUCCUGCUUUGCUUGGUUUAAUUAUGCUUAUGAGAAGACAAGUACACAUUGUCCUCGAACAGCAAGUGGAUGGGAAAGAACCUUGACAACACAAAACUCAUUUACUAAUGGACUGGUUUUGAGUUUCUCCUCCCUGGGUCCGCAAAUCUCCUUCCUGAUCCCUUGGCCUAGUCAGUCUUCGCAGUCAACGGCGUCCUGCACUGGGCAGGUGGGCGGCAGUUUUCGUGUGUUGCUCAGAAUCUGAACCUAGCUCCCCAAGGACGCCGGGCACCAGCGGCUUCCGUCCAAGGAGAGGAAGAAGAUGAACAUUGUUGCCUCGGCUCGGCUCGGAUCUGAGUCUCCGCAUUGCUGCAUAGAGAUGGCAUUAGUUUAUUGAGGAUGCCCUUGACUUCCAAAUCCGUAGGUAGGGGUAGGAGUCCUUUUUGAUGAUAAAGGAACUCCAAGAAACCCGGCUGGGAGCCUCAAGUCAUCUUGCUUCAAGUCAGAAGGAAAACAAGUAGGACCCAGAUACAGGAUUUUGAUUCAAGGCCUAUGUCGACCCAGCAGCUCUAUAUGUUGUCGCCUUGGCCUUUCGGAGCACCGCCUGUGUGCCUGGCCAUUACCAGCACUGUGGAGGCACCCUGAGCCUCUCCUCCAGAGGCACCCUACUAAGCCCGGAAGCUGCCAGGGCAGCAGCAAACAGACUAGAGUGGUUGGGUUUCCUUUAAAUUCCCGACGCAUCUCUGCUUUUUCAUGCGAUUUGCAUUGACAGCAAAGGUUUUAUAUUACAGAACAACUCCAACCUUUCUGUGCGCGAUUUAAAAUGGAUCAUUUGGUUUAUGUGGUUUGUAAAUUCAUGUCAUUUUACCUCUUUUAGUGGUUUUCAGUGAAAGGUUCCAUUUGGGGAAACCUUAUAUAUCCAAGCCAAUAAUUAUCAUUUAUAACAAUUGGUUCUCUUAACCGAGGGAUCCAAAUAGCAGGUAGGCUCCUUGGUACAAAGCGCACAGCACUUUUCCUUUUUAGUUAAGUGAUCUAUUGGAUUAAAUGGGAGGGAGUGAAAGGCUGGCGUGUCCAGCGCCCACCCCCACCUCCACCCCGCUCCCUCCUCUGCCUCUGAGAAAAAGUACCUCUCAUAACCUCGGUGCCGGUUAUCACAGAACUUAUGCCACUCCUCUUGCCAGUUGUCACCAGUGUCUGGUACAGUCCUGAUUCCUUUUGAAGAGAGAUUAAAAAAAAAAAAAAAAAAAAAAAAGGCCUGGGGGAUCUGGAGGAUGCCAGGGAAAUGGUAGUCAUAUACUACCAUUCAUUCCUGCUAUCCUCUGCAAAUGUAUACCUGUAGUUAUCUGUGACUUAUACCUCUCUUCCCUACAAAGACUGUUAAUUACAAAGUAUACUCUGCACUCAACGUACCGUUUGUCCUUUAAGUGACUGUGUUUAUAGCCCUCCUCCCAUUUUAAUUGUGCACACUUGUUCCAGACAUUAGGGUACUGAUUUUGAGAGCCCAUAUAAGUCCCCAUUCUGGUCCUCACACAGCUGCCAUGUCAAUAAGGACUGUUCCAAGCAGAGACAUUCCUCUUGGCAGGACACUGCCGUUCCUUAAGACUUCAUCUGAAACGUCAUGAGCACUAAAAUAAGACAGUGAGGGAAAAUUACCAGGCACAUAGCCUAGGGCUCAGCAGUGCCAGGCUUCUAGUUUAGAAAGUAAGCCAUUGGGCAUACCAUGUGGCAGGAGCUCUUUUGAAAUAAUACACACCCAUUAAAUGUAUUUUUUUUAAAAAAAGCCUAAAUGUAAUGAUGUAUCAGCAUCUGCUUUCAAGGUUUAAUUGCAUGGGAUAGCAUGAGUUCCAAAGAGGCAGAAAGCAUGGUGUGGGAAGAGCCUUUCUGUCUACUUGGAGUCUCCCAGGAGAAACAACCUCGAAGUGGGAACCCUUUAUGAGUUUGAAUUGCAUGUUACAGGGUGCAUUGGACUGGGUGCAUUAUUUUAAAACCAUAUAAAUAAUACAAGGGGAAACCCUUCUCUCACUUAGAGGUCAAAAUGCAAAACAGUUCUGUGGUGCAGUCUCUUUGGCUGAUGAAAUCAAAACACUGAAAGAAGACAAGCACGUUUAAAGAGCCCAAGGUUUGCUCCUGGCCAUUCUCUAAGAGGGCACACUGAAAUCAAAAGCAUUUUUGAAGUGUACUUAAAAUUCUGUUUUGAACUUAUCUAAUCAGAGAUAAGUAUAGUCAUAAAGUCACUCUCCUUCAACCGUUUGGCUUACCUUAUCUCCACACAUUGUUCUUAUCUGCUGCCAGUCUUAGCUACUGACAAUAGAUUAUCUUUAUUUAGAGAAGCUAAUUGUUUUCAAAAUCUUUUUAAUAAUUGCUUUGGAACAAGGUGUGCAAAUGAGGCUUAAGAUAAUUACAGCUUCAUUUGUUUGUAUAGUUUUACUAAGCAUCCUCCACACAGAAACAAAAUAGCAGAUGAUGGGACUUAAAUUGCAGGACACCUCUGGUUCUCUGGCAGCAAAACAGGCUAGCAUUGCAACACACACACACACACACACACACACACACUUUAUUUAAUCUUCUUGGAGCCACUGUGGUUCUAGCUUUGAGGGCAGUGUCCCUCUCAGAGCAGGGCAAGGAUUAUGUUACAGCGACGGUUAUUGGAGCUGGGCACAGUUUUAUUUAAUUUACACCCCAUCCAGAGCCUUUUGCAUAAGGCUCCCAAUACAUUUUUGCUAAUGGCAAGUAAAGCUUUUCGGCAUUCAUCGGUAACAGAGGUGGCGCUGGAAAAAAAAAAGCCACUGUGCAAAUGGGAAAACUGAGUCCAGGAAAUCAGUCGACUAAGUCAAGAUACUAAACCGCAAAUGAAGCACGGGUGUCUCUAUCCAAACUCGGCUAUUGUGCCAGGGCCAACAACCCUUCUCCAGAUGCCACUUCUAGAGGCACUUUGAGAAUAAGGGGAAUGCUGCCCAGAUCAGAGUACUUGCGCCCUUUUGGUUUAGGAAGGGAAAAGGGGGAGGGAAUUAGGUUUGGCUCCCGGAGCUGAAGACAAACCUGGGAGAAGUCACUCUCUGAGUGCCUGCAGCACAGAACCCUAGUCUGCUGUUGUAUUAUUUAUCGCGUUCCAUAAGCUAUUCAUCAAUCCAUUAUUUAUUCAUCUCAACAUUAAGGUAAUUAAAUAUGAGCUCACCGGGAAAAGCCAAGACUACAAGGGACAGGGAUAGGAGUAAGGCGUAGAGGGUCAUUAGAGAACGUCUGCAGUCAUUGAUUUGUGCAGAGAUGAGCGAGGCUCCCCUUAGGUGACACCAAAGAGGGCGCCGCAUUUCAAGGUCCGGACUUGCUCACCACCCUUUUCAGCGCCCUAGUUCCCUCCUCCCGACCCCACCCCACUUCCCACCUCUCCGGGUACUCCUCCUCCCAACACUCCUUAUACUCUACUCCGCAGCAGCUUCUCCC
rnacentral:lncRNA from 1 species